rnacentral:rRNA from 1 species
AUGCAAGUCGAACGGUAACAGGAAGCAGCUUGCUGCUUUGCUGACGAGUGGCGGACGGGUGAGUAAUGUCUGGGGAUCUGCCUGAUGGAGGGGGAUAACUACUGGAAACGGUAGCUAAUACCGCAUAACGUCGCAAGACCAAAGAGGGGGACCUUCGGGCCUCUGGCCAUCAGAUGAACCCAGAUGGGAUUAGCUAGUAGGUGGGGUAACGGCUCACCUAGGCGACGAUCCCUAGCUGGUCUGAGAGGAUGACCAGCCACACUGGAACUGAGACACGGUCCAGACUCCUACGGGAGGCAGCAGUGGGGAAUAUUGCACAAUGGGCGCAAGCCUGAUGCAGCCAUGCCGCGUGUAUGAAGAAGGCCUUCGGGUUGUAAAGUACUUUCAGCGAGGAGGAAGGUGGUGAGCUUAAUACGCUCAUCAAUUGACGUUACUCGCAGAAGAAGCACCGGCUCACUCCGUGCCAGCAGCCGCGGUAAUACGGAGGGUGCAAGCGUUAAUCGGAAUUACUGGGCGUAAAGCGCACGCAGGCGGUCUGUCAAGUCGGAUGUGAAAUCCCCGGGCUCAACCUGGGAACUGCAUCCGAAACUGGCAGGCUUGAGUC